rnacentral:rRNA from 1 species
UCACGGGAGACACACGGCGGGUGCUAACGUCCGUCGUGAAGAGGGAAACAACCCAGACCGCCAGCUAAGGUCCCAAAGUCAUGGUUAAGUGGGAAACGAUGUGGGAAGGCCCAGACAGCCAGGAUGUUGGCUUAGAAGCAGCCAUCAUUUAAAGAAAGCGUAAUAGCUCACUGGUCGAGUCGGCCUGCGCGGAAGAUGUAACGGGGCUAAACCAUGCACCGAAGCUGCGGCAGCGAACGUAUCACUUAAAGCGAUUCAGCGGGUUACGAUUGACGGAGCGAAGCGACGUCAAAGCGUAUACAAAGUCGAGUCGGUUUAAGGAUACGUUCGUUGGGUAGGGGAGCGUUCUGUAAGCCUGUGAAGGUGGCCUGUGAGGGUUGCUGGAGGUAUCAGAAGUGCGAAUGCUGACAUAAGUAACGAUAAAGCGGGUGAAAAGCCCGCUCGCCGGAAGACCAAGGGUUCCUGUCCAACGUUAAUCGGGGCAGGGUGAGUCGACCCCUAAGGCGAGGCCGAAAGGCGUAGUCGAUGGGAAACGGGUUAAUAUUCCCGUACUUGGUGUUACUGCGAAGGGGGGACGGAGAAGGCUAUGUUGGCCGGGCGACGGUUGUCCCGGUUUAAGCGUGUAGGUGUGUGUUCCAGGUAAAUCCGGUUCACUUUAACACUGAGGCGUGACGACGAGGCACUACGGUGCUGAAGCAACAAAUGCCCUGCUUCCAGGAAAAGCCUCUAAGCAUCAGGUAACAUCAAAUCGUACCCCAAACCGACACAGGUGGUCAGGUAGAGAAUACCAAGGCGCUUGAGAGAACUCGGGUGAAGGAACUAGGCAAAAUGGUGCCGUAACU